AAUCAACGCUGGCGGCGUGCCUCAGACAUGCAAGCCGAACGCUGCUGUUCGCCUUCGGGUGGACAGCGGAGUGGCGCACGGGUGAGUAACACGUAGGUAAUCUACCUUUGGGUGGGGAAUAACAGCCGGAAACGGCUGCUAAUACCGCAUAAUGCAGCGGCAUCACAUGAUGACAGUUGUUAAAGCGGGGGAUCGUAAGACCUCGCGCCUGAAGAGGAGCCUGCGGCAGAUUAGGUAGUUGGUGAGGUAAUGGCUCACCAAGCCUGCGAUCUGUAACCGGCCUGAGAGGGCGGUCGGUCACACUGACACUGACAUACGGGUCAGGC
rnacentral:rRNA from 1 species